GAGGGCACUGUGUCUGUAGCAGUAAAAAUUGAUGACUGAAGAAGCACAAGCACAGUUUGUGAGGAAGUUUUCCAGGAAGGCAGGCCUGGGAGAGACUUUAAAGGGUAGCUAGGAUAUCCUAUGACCAAUCCUGCUAGAACUUUGGGAAAAGCUUGAAGUUUCUAGUCAAUACCAGGUCCUCAACAUGGAAACUGGAAGAUAUCUUUCAAGAUCCAGCUGGUCCUGGGGAAUGGACAGAUGUGUGGGACACACAUAUUGAUGGCAGCUCGGCCCAACCUGUAAGAAAAUUGAGUUUGCCCGCACAGAUCUCCAGCUGUCCAAGGAAGACAGACUAUCUGGGGAUUCAGUACUCAGAAGAAUAGACAGAACAUUCUGCAAGGGACAGAGGGACCACAGGACAGAGUGCUGCCUUCCCAGAGCCAAGGCACAAGAGGUCACUCUAAGACUGAAUUGCCUUCUGAAGCUGACAGGGAGUUGGAAGAAACAGCAGUGAAGCUGGUGGGCAUAACUGCUGAUACAGUGCAAACCAGAGCUGGGGCAUUGAUUGAGCUGAAUGAGGGAGAGAAGCAGCAGAAACACAGAACAACACAAAAAAGGAGUAAAGAAGCCCAGAUAUAGCAAGAGAAACCCUGGUAACAUGACCUUGAGGGGGAAAAAUGCUAAGAGAGCACUUUUUGGAUAAAGGCUGUCUGACAAGCUUGGAACUAUGAGCAAAGAAACUAUCUCCUGUGGUUUAAUUCCUACUUUGUUCAGGGAACCAAACUUUGUGUAGGGUGUUAGUAAAUAAACAGAAUUGCAUCAAAGGAAUACCUGACUCUAUCAAUUCCUCCUCCAAAUGGAAACUACUAGACACUGGCAAUUAGCUAACCAUCUGGGUCAAAAGGAAUAACAAUAUUGUCAGAAGACAGGACUGCAUGACUUUUGCCAACAAGACACGUACUUGUGAAAAUUAGAAAGUUUUGGAGUUUUAGCUUUACACAGAAGAUUAAACAGCUUGAUUCCUUCUUUUUCUGGAGCUUGUUUUAGUAUUUGCAUGUAUA